AAGUCGUAACAAGGUAACCGUAGGUGAACCUGCGGUUGGAUCAUUAAAAAAUUCUAGAGCAGAUGUGAUCGAGCAAUCGUCAUCUCUGUUUCUUAACAAUUUGUGAAUCGUUUAUUGUCUCUUGCGAUCAAGAAUCAAGGCUGUUACAGGUCUCUUGGUCGCAUGUGAAUCUUAACAUUGUAAUAUAACCAUUUGUCUUGAAACUUUAAACCUAAAAAUUUAAAAACAACUUUUGACAACGGAUCUCUAGGCUCUC
rnacentral:misc_RNA from 1 species